GCAACACUCAGUAAAAAAUGCAGGUUCUGUACAUCAGGAGUCUGAAAUGCAUCUCACUGGGCUAAAAUCAAGAUCUGUGGCACAUGGAACCACAUGUGGGACAAGAGGUUCUGGGGAUUCAAGCAUUGACAUCUUUGGGAGACAAUUAUUCUGCCUACCAUGUGCAUUUAAAUUGGCUUUCUCUCUCUGAGACUGGAGAAGAACCUUUUUCACCCUUGUAUGUGCCUAUUUCAAAAUGGCAAGAAAAUCUGUACUCCAAUGGGAGAGGAUUUUUAUGAAUGUAUUCGUAAGUAUGCUUGUGUCCAG
rnacentral:lncRNA from 1 species